rnacentral:lncRNA from 1 species
AAAAAACGAUUAUUAAUAUCAUCGAUAAACACCCUUAUUAAACAAAACAAAAGGAUUUUUUUUAUGAAUUGAAUUUGGAUGCGUAUAGCACAUUCCGUCAACUGCCAAGAGGAGCACGGAGAUGAUGAAGAAGGAAGUUCCGGAUCGGAUGCCGAGGUUUUCCACCAGCGCCGUUGUCUCCUCGUACGGCCAGAAGCAAAUGAUUCUAUUCUGGUUGGAAAGCUCGAUGGCCAUUGGGCUUCCUAACGUGGCUGUAAUAGUUGUUAUAGGAGGCGAAAGCAAUGUCAGCUGUAUGAGUUGGUUACUCGCUCCAUAAACUA